GCACAUGCGAUCACACAGAGACGGCGUUGCUGCGGCUUUGACCCGAUGGUGCACCCGAAAGAACACAGAGGGUGAAGGGAGAGAUCCAGGAAGUGGUCGCGGAGCAGAACCCCCCUUCACUUCAGUUAAAAAGGUGGCCCUAUUUGGAAAGAAGAGGUGGCCUGGAGAGGUGAUAAAUCCAUCCAAGGUAGGGGCUGGACAGAAUUUCUGAAUAAAUCAGCCAACAAAUAUUCACCGAAGCCUACUGAGCACCUGGCCCCGAGUGCACACGCCC
rnacentral:lncRNA from 1 species